UUCAUUUGAAACUAUGAUCCCCUAUUGGCUCAUUGCCUGAAAAAUCAUUUUGUCCCUUUCCCUCGUUUACAUUUGUGUUAGCAUUGCUAGGAAUAACUAAGGGGUGUUUAGAGGACAGCUUAAGUUCAUUGUCUUUCAGCCAGACCACAAGUCUUUCCUUAAAUGAUUUUUCAUCAUCUUCCUUCGAAGCUAAGUUGCUGUGUCUUCCCUCUUCUUAUCUCGUAAUGGAGGAAGAUGUCCCAGCUCAACUGUCAAACUGAGCUCCUUUUUGUCAAAGGAGAGAUUCUGAUCUUCACUGCCAGGGCCAGCUUUCCUUUUUAUUCGGUAGUAUUUCUUUUGGUAAUAUUUGUACGGGCUGACUCUUUUAGAUGAUGAAGCUGCUUUAUUAGCCGCAAAUUGUUCUAUCCUUUCAUUAAUGCUGAGAUUUUGUCUCUUUCGAAAAUAUGAACUGUGGGAUGAAUAACCACCAGGUGAUUUAAAUGAUACUUUUCUCUUUGCUGAUCUUUUUAAUUUGGUUGAGUAAUUGCAGAUAUCUUGAUCAUAAGUUGACAAGAUGGCUUUUCCUUUCUCCUUCCUUCGAUCAUCAGAGUUUUGAUCAAAGGGAUCAUACUCAGAUUCGGAUGAGCUAUUUUUCUUGGCAUGAGUGGGAUUUGAGUCAGAGGUUUUGUCAGGCUUUGAUUGUUAACUGUCAGAUUGGUUUUUUGAAUUUUUCGGUGGAAUGGCAUGGUUUCCGGCAAAUGUGAACUUCUCUGCGUUGGGGUUCAGAUUGUCGAAAUCAUCAGCUGCUUCAAUCUUGAAUGUCCCAUGGAAGUUGACAUUUCUUUCUAUGAACCAUCUCCCCUUUGGAGGGGGAACCGUAUAUACCACAAAGUUUUCCCCUUGGUCAUCAAUGAGCAGAAUUGAAGCUGGUACAAAACCAGUGUAGUUGUACUUUACUUUAAUUUUUGCUUCGAUGAGGUUCUCCUUUUCCAUUGUUUCCUUUGCCACAGCCAGAAAGCCUCCGCAAGCUUUUCCAAUGUUAACAAAUGAAUCAUAAUUCCAUAGAUGGAGGGGGACUCCUUUGAAACGCAUCCAACCUCCGUAGCUUGGAAUAAGAGUUUGGCAAGCAUGUUUUUUGGUGUCCCAUCGCUCAAAUUUGACUUGGUAGUUUCCCACUGUUGUCCAUCCAUUUGUACUCUUAUUUUAAAGAGCAAGUUUGCAUUAUCCUCAGAGAGUGUGAGGAUGGCCUUGUUUGCAUGGAAGGAUUCAUAGGAGAACUCUAUUUCAGUUUGUUUCUUCAAGGUAAACAUUAUACGGCUCCAAUCAUCAUGAAAGAGUCUUCUUGUAAUAAUGACUGUUUCACCAUAUUCAAAAGCUUUCCGAAGGGGGUCUUUCACACUAUGAGCAGCUGUUGAGCUUCGCUUGCAUGAACUAUCAUCAUAGUAUACAUUGUUCUUCUUAUCACUACCAUCGUCACUACUUUCCAUGAGGGCUAUAUGAUUUUCUUGAGGUUUCUGAAUCAGAUGAUGAAUAAUUUCUGUUGAAAUUUUCUUUUCUUACCUCAGAGCGUAGCCGCUUAUGAUGGGAGUGAUGCUUAAAGGUUAGCAUGGCUACAAAAGACUUCCAACCAAAUUUAUCGAUGCCUUCAGGAACAAGAACGCUGCAUUUUCUACCUUUGUUGUCGAUUCUGAAAAUUUCAGCUGUGGAACCAGAUUUGCUCUUGUUUUUUGUUUUUCGUACCCACAUGCAGUAAUCCUCUUGCCUUCUUUCGUUGAAUAAAUGCUUGGUGUUUGAUGUUUCCAGUAGGGCUUUGAAGCAUUUUCUUAUCCAAUCAAGAGUGUCGGGGGAAAUAUCCAUUUAAAAAGAUUUGUGAUGGCAUAUUUCCGUUAGCCACAUGCGUAAAAAUCUGGACUUACUAUCCAAAGAAAGAAUAUAUUAUUUCUUUUCGA